UAAAACGAGAGCAAUAAAUAUAAAGUUUCAGUAAAGUCAGUUGGUACAUUGUUUUUUUACUUAGAGAAGACAUGCUGCUUCAUGUUAAACCUUGAUAUUGUAUAUGUUUCUUGAAGGGCCACUUCUUACUCCUUUGUGUGUUCUCCACAAAGUCCACGAUGAUGCCUUACAUAAAGAGAGAGAGAGAAUUGGGAGGGUGCGCAGAGGAAGAAGAAAACACUCCACUCACUGCCUAGAAAGCCUGCUGGGGAGUUACAUCCCAGGACCCUGAGAUCAUGACCCAAGCCAAAGGCAGUCACUCAAAGGACUGAGCCUCCGAGACAUGGAAGAACAUUCCUGUUGCUCCACAUCCUCACCAACAUUUCGUGUUCUGUUGUCAGUGCUCUGGAUUCUGGGUAUGUACUGGUGUCUCUUUUUUGUUUUAAUUUGCAUUUUCCUGAUGACAUAUGAUGUGAAGCAUCUUUUUAUAUGCUUAUUUGCCAUCUGUAAUAUUGUCUU